UGUAUUGGCAUAGCCAAUACACCCCUAAUUGGUGGGCCCCACCUAAUCCCUCUUUCUUCCGUCGUUUGGUUCAAUGUAUUGCUAAUACGCGUGUAAUACAUUACUUUCCUAAUCGGUGAAAACCACCGGUUUCUAAUCCCUCUCUUUUGCCCAGAUUAGCUGCCACUUCAGUUUACCCUCCCUGUUUUACCCUCCCCGAUCCCCUAUGUUUCUCUUUUGUUCCUUCUAGCUUCAGCCGAUUUGCUCCCUUGUUUCUUUUCUUUUCUUUUCUGCCGAUUUGCUCCCAGUUUAUUUUCUUUUCUUUUUCUGCUGAUUUGCUCCCAGUUUAUUUUCUUUUCUUUUCUGCCGAUUUGCUCCCUCUGUUUCUUUUCUUUUCUUUUUCGGCCGAUUUGCUCAGUUUCUACCGAUUUGCGUCAUCGGUUAGUUUUCCUAACCCGAUAGAAUAAAAUCAUUUUCUAUUGUAGAUGAAAACAAUAUACUUUCCAGGGAAACCUUUUCUAUUGUUUUUAUCUAAUCGGUUUCCCCUUUUCUCAUUACAGGUUCUUCUUCAUCGCACUCUGCCC
rnacentral:lncRNA from 1 species